AUUGAACGCUGGCGGCAUGCCUUACACAUGCAAGUCGAACGGUAACGCGGGGCAACCUGGCGACGAGUGGCGAACGGGUGAGUAAUGCAUCGGAACGUGCCCGGUAGUGGGGGAUAACUGCUCGAAAGAGCAGCUAAUACCGCAUACGACCUGAGGGUGAAAGGGGGGGAUCGCAAGACCUCUCGCUAUCGGAGCGGCCGAUGUCGGAUUAGCUAGUUGGUGGGGUAAAGGCCUACCAAGGCGACGAUCCGUAGCUGGUCUGAGAGGACGACCAGCCACACUGGGACUGAGACACGGCCCAGACUCCUACGGGAGGCAGCAGUGGGGAAUUUUGGACAAUGGACGCAAGUCUGAUCCAGCCAUGCCGCGUGCGGGAAGAAGGCCUUCGGGUUGUAAACCGCUUUUGUCAGGGAAGAAAUCUUCUGAGUUAAAACCUCGGGAGGAUGACGGUACCUGAAGAAUAAGCACCGGCUAACUACGUGCCAGCCGCCGCCGUAACAC
rnacentral:rRNA from 1 species